UCAUCUGUUAGCUCUUGCAGUACCCUGGAACACCGUUCACCAGGGCCAGGAUGGAUUUGCUGUACACAGGAGUGAUCCUUUUCACCUGCCAUGUCCCUAGGUGUGUGAGAAUCUACAAUGGAGCCGAAAGAAUUACAUCUUCCUGGUUCAUACUCAGAAGGAUGCAUCUUUCAACAUUUUAAGAAUAAAUGGAAGAAAAAGGCUUAAAAGUAAAGUACCUUAAAACAUCUGAAUUUAAGAGGUCUCUAAGUCCACUGAUGACAGGAAAAUCUUCAGUGGUUCCAGAGACAAACUGCUGGAAAUCCUGCACAUUUAUUUUCUAGAAGGAAGUGAGCUGAUGAGGAGAGUGAUCUCUUCUGAGAGAUUCUCCCUUUAAAAAUCUGUAAAGGGGCUUCCCUGGUGGCGCAGUGGUUGGGAGUCCGCCUGCCGAUGCGGGGGACGCGGGUUCUUGCCCCGGGGCGGGAAGAUCCCACAUGCCGCGGAGCGGCUGGGCCCGUGAGCCAUGGCCGCUGGGCCUGCGCAUCCGGAGCCUGUGCUCCGCAAUGGGAGAGGCCGCAGCGGUGAGAGGCCCGCAUACCACAGAAAAAAAAAAAAAAAAAAAAAAAAAAAAACCGGUAAAGGACUCCAAAUUAAGCCAUAUCCAUUUCUGGGACCCUAAAAUGGCUCACAAAAGGUAACGUCAGUUGCUCAAUGUUAGGUGAUUUCAAAAGCCUUAAUAAGGGGAGAGCAAAUGUGGGGAGAAGGAUAGUGAAUAAAUUGUGAGAAUCUACCAAGUAACGAGACAUCCCUUUAAUUCCAAGCAUCAUGUGUUAUUUCACUUUGUAUUUCAAUUAAAAAAAAAGAAAAGAAAAAUGUGUCUUUUUAAAAAAGAUGUAUUUUUGCUAUUAAUAUUCAGUACUUAAUAUCUGAGUACAGAUCCAUCAUUCAUUAGGUCUAGGGUAGAUCACAACCUAAUUUACAAAUUCAGAAUCAUAAGUCAGAUCAACUCAAUUGCUUAAGGCCGUGUAUUUGCAAGUUAGA